rnacentral:rRNA from 1 species
GAUGAACGCUGGCGGCGUGCCUAAUACAUGCAAGUCGAGCGGUAAGGCCACUUCGGUGGUACACGAGCGGCGGACGGCUGAGUAACACGUAGGAACGUACCCCAAACUGAGGGAUAACUGCUCGAAAGAGUAGCUAAUACCGCAUGUGCUCUAAGGAAUAAAGCUACGGCGGUUUGGGAACGGCCUGCGCAUGAUUAGCUUGUUGGUGAGGUAAUGGCUCACCAAGGCGACGAUCAUUAGCUGGUCUGAGAGGAUGAUCAGCCAGACCGGGACUGAGACACGGCCCAGACUCCUACGGGAGGCAGCAGUAGGGAAUCUUCCGCAAUGGACGCAAGUCUGACGGAGCAACGCCGCGUGAGUGACGAAGGUUUUCGGAUCGUAAAACUCUGUUGUGAGGGAAGAACACGUACCAACUAACUAUUGGUACCUUGACGGUACCUCACCAGAAAGCCACGGCUAACUA